UACGGAGGAGGCAAGCGUUAUCCGGAAUUAUUGGGCGUAAAGCGUCCGUAGGUGGCUCUUCAAGUCUGCUGUCAAAGAGUGGGGCUUAACCCUGCAAAGGCAGUGGAAACUGAAAGGCUAGAGAGCCGUAGGGGUAGAGGGAAUUCCCGGUGUAGCAGUGAAAUGCGUAGAGAUGCGGAGGAACACCGAUGGCGAAGGCAGCCCCCUGGGCCGACAUUGACGCUCAGGCACGAAAGCGUGGGGAGCAAACAGG
rnacentral:rRNA from 1 species